rnacentral:rRNA from 1 species
UACGUAGGGGGCGAGCGUUGUCCGGAUUUAUUGGGCGUAAAGAGCGUGUAGGCGGCCAGGUAGGUCCGUUGUGAAAACUCGAGGCUCAACCUCGAGACGUCGGCGGAAACCCUCUGGCUAGAGUCCGGAAGAGGAGAGUGGAAUUCCUGGUGUAGCGGUGAAAUGCGCAGAUAUCAGGAAGAACACCCGUGGCGAAGGCGGCUCUCUGGGACGUGACUGACGCUGAGGCACGAAGGCCAGGGGAGCAAACGGG